CGGGAGAUGCUGAAGAUGAUGAUGCGGAAUAUAGCUGCUUCUUCUUCUUCUUAUUGCACCAGCAGGAGAUGGAGAGGAUCAAUUUCAUAUGAUGAUUUUGCUUGUUUAUGUUGAUGACAUCAUACUCACUGGGAGCUGAGUUUGACAUCAAAGACCUUGGCAGGUUAAAUUAUUUUCUUGGCAUUGCGGUUACAUAUCACACUGAUUUUAUCCACCUCCAUCAGACCAAAUAUGCACUUGAAAUUCUCAAAAGACACAGCAUGAUGGAUUGUAAACCGGUCUCUACCCCUAUGGCUUCCAAGGGAAGACUUUCUUGCACACAUGGAGCCCCAUUACCUGACCCGACUACAUAUCGCCAACUUGUGGGGUCCCUUCAGUAUCUAACCAUGAUGUCCAUUUCCUAUGCAGUACAACAUGUCUCUCAGUUUGUUGGUUCUCCCACUGAUGUUCAUUAUGAAGCUGUCAAACGCAUUUUGCGAUACCUCAAAGGCACCCUUGGUCAUGGCCUUCCUAUUCGUCACUCUACCGACUCAUCAUUCCUUGUUGCCUUUUCAGAUGCUGACUGGGCUGGUUGCCCAAAUACCAGACGCUCUACCAAUGGGUACUGUGUCUUUUUAGGCUCCAAUUUAAUUUCUUAGAGUGCAAAGAAGCAACGCACAGUCUCUCGUUCCAGUGCCGAAGCUGAGUAUCACUCCUUAGCCUCUGCAUGUGCAGAUACUAUCUGGAUUCAAGGUCUACUCCAUGAACUUCACUAUCCUAUACAACAUCCUGUCAUCAUUAAUUGUGACAAUCUCUCAGCCACAUAUCUUGCUGCAAAUCCAGUUUUCCACUCCAGGACCAAACACAUAGCUCUUUAUUAUCACUUCGUUCGGGAACGUGUUGCCUCCGGCAGUCAUAGGGUUCGUUUCAUUCCCUCUUCUCAUCAACUUGCAGAUGUCUUCAUCAAAGGAUUAACGACAGCCCGGUUUGACAACUUGAUUUCCAAACUUGUCUCCUCCCCGGUGUCAAGUUCGCGGGGGAGUGUUAGGGAGUUACAAAUUCCUCCUUCCCGUUACAGUAGUUAAUUCCAUUAAUAAUAGGCAAUGGUCAGUCAUAUGUU